AUGCCAGGCUCUGUGCCCCAAACUCUGGCUUGCAAUGAAAGCUUUCAUCUCAGAGUCCAAUUCUGGAAAUGUCAGAGACAACUUGUCGGGGCAUUGAGCACGCAGCUCAGUGGGAAGACGCCAACCUUCGGUUCGGGGCUCGCGUCCCCACUUAGGGGAAAACAAGAAGAAGUGGGCUCAACCUGCAGUUAGACGCGAAGAAGUACAGGCUGCAGGCUGUUUCCCACGAAUGAAACUGGGAUUCUUGGACCUCCAUUCCCAAGAUGGAAAUGGAUUGCCAGCACCUCUGGGAUGGCCUAGGUGAGGACGUGCGGAAGGGGUGGGCGAGUUGGACGGUCUCACAUAUCUGCCGGGGCCACCUUGCCCAAGGCAGGGCAUGGUGACAACACGGCCCAGAGAACAAUUUCUGCGCCUGGAGCCUCAUUCUCUGCUCACAGCUCCAAAGCCCCAGUGACUGAGGGAACUCUCACCUCUGAAAGAGAAGUGGCCUUGUGGCACCCAGUCUGCUCUUCUCUGCUGUCCCCCCCCAACUUAACCUCCCACCCGACCCCGGCGGUCACUAAAAUGACACUUUAAUGUGGCAUUUUUCUUUACUUGCCAGUCAGAGUCCAUCCGCUUGCCCCUCUCUACAUUGUUUUGGUUCAUGAGACAUAGCCUCUUAUGGGGCUGAAAGGCCAGGAAAAGGAGCCAUAACGAAGGACACAAGGUACUUUUUUAUUUGAGAACUUUUAAGACCUACUCUCUUAGCAACUUUCAAAUAUACAAUGCAGUAUUUUUAGUUACUGUGCUGUAUAUGACAUCCCCAGGGCUCAUUUAUUUUAUAACUGGAAGUUUGUAUCUUUGGACCCUUCCACCCAUUUUCCCAACUCCACUCCCCACCUCUGGCAACCACCAGUCUGUUCUCUGUACCUAUGGGAGCUCAUUUUUUUUAAAAUAUAGAUUCCACAUAUAACUGAGAUCAUAUGGUAUUUGUCUUUCUCUGUCUGACUUAUUUCACAUAGCACCAUGGCCUACAGGUCCAUCCAUGUUGUCACGAAUGGCAAGAUUCUUCUUUUUUAUGACUGAAUAAUAUCCCAUUUUAUACAUAUCACAUUUUCUUUAUUGAUUCAUUCAACAGUGGACACUUGCUUCCAUGUCUUGGCUACUGUAAAUAAUGAACGAUGCACGUGGGGGUACACAUAUAUUUUCAAGU
rnacentral:lncRNA from 1 species